rnacentral:rRNA from 1 species
UACGUAGGGUGCGAGCGUUAAUCGGAAUUACUGGGCGUAAAGCGUGCGUAGGCGGUUCGUUAAGUUCGUUGUGAAAGCCCCGGGCUCAACCUGGGAAUGGCAAUGGAAACUGGCGGGCUGGAGAAUGGCAGAGGGGGGUGGAAUUCCGCGUGUAGCAGUGAAAUGCGUAGAGAUGCGGAGGAACACCGAUGGCGAAGGCAGCCCCCUGGGCCAAUACUGACGCUCAGGCACGAAAGCGUGGGGAGCAAACAGG